rnacentral:rRNA from 1 species
UACGUAGGAUGCGAGCGUUGUCCGGAAUUAUUGGGCGUAAAGAGAACGUAGGCGGUUUGUUAAGUUUGGGCUUAAAGACUGGGGCUCAACCCCAGGAGUGGCUCGAAAACUGACAGACUAGAGGAUGGCAGAGGAAAGUGGAAUUCCCAGUGUAGCGGUGAAAUGCGUAGAUAUUGGGAGGAACACCAGUGGCGAAAGCGACUUUCUGGGCCAUUCCUGACGCUGAGGUUCGAAAGCUCGGGGAGCAAACAGA